rnacentral:rRNA from 1 species
UACGUAGGGUCGCAAGCGUUUGUCCGGAUUUAUUGGGCGUAAAGAGCUCGUAGGCGGUUUGGGCAAGUCGGGUGUGAAACCCGUCCAGCUCAACCUGGAGUCGCCAUCCGAUACUGCUAUGAACUUGAGUCUGGUAGGGGAUCACGGAAUUCCUGGUGUAGCGGUGAAAUGCAUUGAGAUCGGAAAGAACACCAACGGCGAAAGCACUCAUGCUGGGC